rnacentral:misc_RNA from 1 species
GAUGAGAACGUAGCGAAAUGCGAUAAGUAGUGUGAAUUGCAGAAUUCAGUGAAUCAUCGAAUCUUUGAACGCACAUUGCGCCCCUUGGUAUUCCAUGGGGCAUGCCUGUUCGAGCGUCAUUUGUACCUUCAAGCUCUGCUUGGUGUUGGGUGUUUGUCUCGCCUCUGCGUGUAGACUCGCCUCAAAACAAUUGGCAGCCGGCGUAUUGAUUUCGGAGCGCAGUACAUCUCGCGCUUUGCACUCAUAACGACGACGUCCAAAAGUACAUUUUUACACUCUUGACCUCGGAUCAGGUAGGGAUACCCGCUGAACUUAAGCAUAUCAAUAAGCGGAGGA